GACGAGCGCUGGCGGCGUGCUUAACACAUGCAAGUCGAACGGAAAGGCCCUGCUUUUGUUGGGUGCUCGAGUUGCGAACGGGUGAGUAACACGUGAGUAACCUGCCCUUGACUUUGGGAUAACUUCAGGAAACGGGGGCUAAUACCGGAUAGGAGCUCCUGCUUCAUGGUGGGGGUUGGAAAGUGUCGGCGGUUGUGUAUGGACUCGCGGCUGAUCAGCUUGUUGGUGGGGUAGUGGCUUACCAGGGCUUUGACGGGUAGCCGGCCUGAGAGGGUGACCGGCCACAGUGGGACUGAGAUACGGCGCCGACACCUACGGGAGGCAGACGUGGGGAAUAUUGCACAAGGGGCGGAAGCCUGAUGCAGCAGCGCCGCGUGCGGGAUGACGGCCUUCGGGUUGGAAACCGCUUUCGGCUGUGACGAAGCGUGAGUGACGGUAAUGGGUAAAGAAGCCCCGGCUAACUACGUG
rnacentral:rRNA from 1 species